rnacentral:guide_RNA from 1 species
AUAGUUAUAAACACAAUAAUCAUCGGUAUAGAGAUAGUUAAUGAGAUAU